rnacentral:rRNA from 1 species
UACGUAGGGGGCAAGCGUUGUCCGGAUUUAUUGGGCGUAAAGAGCGUGUAGGCGGCUUUACAGGUCCGCUGUGAAAACUCGAGGCUCAACCUCGAGCUGUCGGUGGAAACCGUAAAGCUAGAGUCCGGAAGAGGAGAGUGGAAUUCCCGGUGUAGCGGUGAAAUGCGCAGAUAUCGGGAAGAACACCCGUGGCGAAGGCGGCUCUCUGGGACGGCACUGACGCUGAGACGCGAAAGCGUGGGGAGCGAACAGG